CCUCAGUUUCCUUUGGGAGAGACAAUCACAUCUUUGAAAUGAUGGUUGUCUGUCACUACAAAUGACCCCUUGAUGAAUGAAAGCUGAAUGGUGGUGGGAACUUCGUCCUCAGUGCUAGCACUGAGCCUACCACAUGGUUGCCAGGGAUGCCAUGGAAGGUUGUAAAGGUUGUUCACUGCAUCAGAGCUCCUGGCUGGGGAGUGGGCGCUGACAUCUGCCCUGUUCUCUGCUCUCUAUGCACUGGGGGCAUCCAGCAAGUUGCCUUCUGCUAUUUUGCAAUGUGUGCUGUAUGGGCUGGUUGUGGCUCUGUGAUGGGUGUUCAAUAAAUAUUCAUUGAAUACAUGA